UGCUGAAAUUCUGAGAAUUACAAAUGCAAACAAAAUAAACAAUUAUGAAUUAUCAGCUCAAACCACUAAUGUACCUCAGGUCCUGUAGAUCCAAUCAACUCAAAUGUCUCCAAAUCCCAGAACUUGACAGUUUUAUCAGCUGAACCUGAAGGAAGCAACAAAUUUUACAUAAGAGAUUUAGUUUCAAAAGGAAUAUACUCUUCUGAGCUCCCACAUAAAUAUAUGAAUACACUCUUCACUGCCUAACAGGAGACAAUAUGUGUCCACCAAAACAAAAAUGGAAUUUGUUAAUUGAUGACACGAAUAGAAAGUUUAUAUAUAGAAGAUAGAACAUAUUAUACACAGUUUUAAUGCAUCUCUUCACAAAUGUCACCAAGGAAAACAAACAUGAUAUCCCACGACAAAAAAAUAACAUAAUACGUGCAUAGCGAUUUACUUAAAGCAAGCUAACCUAUGCCAAGAUAUGACUACUUGGAAUUUUCUUGACAAAUAAUCAAAAAGCUAAUAUGUGGUGUGGUGGGGCAGAUAACAAUUACAACCAUAGUAUGAUCCAUUACCUAAAAGGUCAAAAGAACAGUCAUUACACUUUGGUUUAAAUCUUAUUUUUAGUUAGGAAAUCAUGUUUAAACAGUUUUCCACUCAAUGGACAAAUGCCAAGCUCGUCUUAGAUAACACCUAAAUACUUAAAUUAAUUUACCGGCUCAAUGAACCGACAAGUCUUUUCUUCAACCAAAUGUCCAAAUGUCAUGACAGAGGUCCAAGAUUUAACCAUAAACAAGUACAUAAUAC
rnacentral:lncRNA from 7 species